rnacentral:rRNA from 1 species
GAUGAACGCUGACAGAAUGCUUAACACAUGCAAGUCAACUUGAAUUUGGGUUUUUAACUUAAGUUUGGGUGGCGGACGGGUGAGUAACGCGUAAAGAACUUGCCUCACAGCUAGGGACAACAUUUGGAAACGAAUGCUAAUACCUAAUAUUAUGAUAAUAGGGCAUCCUAUAAUUAUGAAAGCUAUAAGCGCUGUGAGAGAGCUUUGCGUCCCAUUAGCUAGUUGGAGAGGUAACUGCUCACCAAGGCGAUGAUGGGUAGCCGGCCUGAGAGGGUGAUCGGCCACAAGGGGACUGAGACACGGCCCUUACUCCUACGGGAGGCAGCAGUGGGGAAUAUUGGACAAUGGACCAAGAGUCUGAUCCAGCAAUUCUGUGUGCACGAUGAAGUUUUUCGGAAUGUAAAGUGCUUUCAGUUGGGAAGAAAGAAAUGACGGUACCAACAGAAGAAGUGACGGCUAAAUACGUGCCAGCAGCCGCGGUAAUACGUAUGUCACGAGCGUUAUCCGGAUUUAUUGGGCGUAAAGCGCGUCUAGGUGGUUAUGUAAGUCUGAUGUGAAAAUGCAGGGCUCAACUCUGUAUUGCGUUGGAAACUGUAUAACUAGAGUACUGGAGAGGUAAGCGGAACUACAAGUGUAGAGGUGAAAUUCGUAGAUAUUUGUAGGAAUGCCGAUGGGGAAGCCAGCUUACUGGACAGAUACUGACGCUGAAGCGCGGAAAGCGUGGGGUAGCCAACAGG